rnacentral:rRNA from 1 species
UGGGGAAUUUUGGACAAUGGGCGAAAGCCUGAUCCAGCAAUGCCGCGUGUGUGAAGAAGGCCUUCGGGUUGUAAAGCACUUUUGUCCGGAAAGAAAUCCUUGGCUCUAAUACAGUCGGGGGAUGACGGUACCGGAAGAAUAAGCACCGGCUAACUACGUGCCAGCAGCCGCGGUAAUACGUAGGGUGCAAGCGUUAAUCGGAAUUACUGGGCGUAAAGCGUGCGCAGGCGGUUUGCUAAGACCGAUGUGAAAUCCCCGGGCUCAACCUGGGAACUGCAUUGGUGACUGGCAGGCUAGAGUAUGGCAGAGGGGGGUAGAAUUCCACGUGUAGCAGCGAAAUGCGUAGAGAUGUGGAGGAAUACCGAUGGCGAAGGCAGCCCCCUGGGCCAAUACUGACGCUCAUGCACGAAAGCGUGGGGAGCAAACAGGAUUAGAUACCCUGGUAGUCCACGCCCUAAAACGAUGUCAACUAGUUGUUGGGGAUUCAUUUCCUUAGUAACGUAGCUAACGCGUGAAGUUGACCGCCUGGGGAGUACGGUCGCAAGAUUAAAACUCAAAUGAAUUGACGGGGUCAUAGCUGUUUCCU